UUAGGGGUAAAGGUCGGCGGGCUGAAAACAGAGGGCCAGAUCAUGGCAAUCGUGGAAGAUAUGACAUAAGAUCGUCCGAAAUGGAGGUGCAGUAUGCUACUUUGGAUCAAAUCCAUUUGGAACAGGCAUCCAGAGCGAGAGUUCAGUAGGUCUGCAAGAACUCACCUCAGCCAAUGCAAAGUUCAGAUGAAUGGAGUGGAUCAGAUGAAUAUGUGACUCUUUUUCCUGUUAUCCGGAAAGCAAACUUUGA